AUGAGUGUGAUCUGCGUCCUCAUCUGGACUCUCCUCUGCUGCUGCUUCACAGAGUCCAGAGGACAGGUCACAGUGACUCAGCCUGGAGCAGUGAGCUCCACUGUGGGAGGAUCUGUCUCCAUCUCAUGUAGAAUCAGUCAGAAUAUUGUUGGCGACCGUUUAUCCUGGUAUCAACAGAAAGAUGGAGAAACUCCUAAACUCCAUAUUUAUGAUAUCAGCAACAGACCAUCAGGAACUUCAACUCGUUUUACAGGCAGUGGAUCAUCUUUUGGACAAGAUUUCACUCUGACCAUCAGUGGAGUUCAGGCUGAAGAUGCAGCAGUUUAUUACUGUCAGAGUUAUCACUACAUCAACAGUCAGUAUGUAUUCACACAGUGAAAAACAGUCGUACAAAAACCUCCCUCAUUCAGGCUGAACAGAAACUGAUGAUACAGU